GAUGAACGCUGGCGGCGUGCUUAACACAUGCAAGUCGAACGAAGCACUUUAUUUGAUUUCCUUCGGGACUGAUUAUUUUGUGACUGAGUGGCGGACGGGUGAGUAACGCGUGGGUAACCUGCCUUGUACAGGGGGGUAACAGUUGGAAACGGCUGCUAAUACCGCAUAAGCGCACGGCAUCGCAUGAUGCAGUGUGAAAAACUCCGGUGGUAUAAGAUGGACCCGCGUUGGAUUAGCUAGUUGGUGAGGUAACGGCCCACCAAGGCGACGAUCCAUAGCCGACCUGGGAGGGUGACCGGCCACAUUGGGACUGAGACACGGCCCAAACUCCUACGGGAGGCAGCAGUGGGGAAUAUUGCACAAUGGGCGAAAGCCUGAUGCAGCGACGCCGCGUGAGCGAAGAAGUAUUUCGGUAUGUAAAGCUCUAUCAGCAGGGAAGAUAAUGACGGUACCUGACUAAGAAGCACCGGCUAAAUACGUG
rnacentral:rRNA from 1 species